UGUAGUGACUGCGGAGGGAUCAUUACACAAAUAUGAAGGCGGGCUGGAACCUCUCGGGGUUACAGCCUUGGUGAAUUAUUCACCCUUGUCUUUUGCGUACUUCUUGUUUCCUUGGUGGGUUCGCCCACCACUAGGACAAACAUAAACCUUUUGUAAUUGCAAUCAGCGUCAGUAACAAAUUAAUAAUUACAACUUUCAACAACGGAUCUCCUGGUUCUGGCAUCGAUGAAGAACGCAGCGAAAUGCGAUAAGUAGUGUGAAUUGCAGAAUUCAGUGAAUCAUCGAAUCUUUGAACGCACAUUGCGCCCUUUGGUAUUCCAAAGGGCAUGCCUGUUCGAGCGUCAUUUGUAGCCUCAAGCUUUGCUUGGUGUUGGGCGUCUUGUCUCUAGCUUUGCUGGAGACUCGCCUUAAAGUAAUUGGCAGCCGGCCUACUGGUUUCGGAGCGCAGCACAAGUCGCACUCUCUAUCAGCAAAGGUCUAGCAUCCAUUACGCCUUUUUUUCAACUUUUGACCUCGGAUCAGGUAGGGAUACCCGCUGAACUUAAGCAUAUCAAUAAGCGGAGGAA
rnacentral:sRNA from 1 species